AAUACAUAGUUUGUAUUUGAAUAGUUAGAUUAACGUGUUAGUAAUCCAAUUGUAGGCGGUUCGUGUGUGGAUCUCGUCAGCAUAUCGUCGCAAACAGGUGAGCCUUGAUGUGGGUGACUUGGAGCCGGAGGGGAUUCAGAGUGGCCAUGGUGAAUACUUUUGGGUUUGAAAAAGAGACUGGUUUUCUUAACUUAUUUUUAAUUACUAUUUAAUUUUUGGGUUGUAAUAA